UUUCAUCUCCCUUUACGUCUGUCAUGGCUGCCUUUCUGCAGCAGCAGCUGUGGAGCUCCGCGUCUCGCCGGCUUUUGUCUUCCUGCUCUUCAUCCCAUCGUUGCGAAUUUCUAGGAAGCAUCUUGGAUUGAAUGGAUCACAUCUGAGGUGUCCAAGCUUUUUGCCAGCAGGGACAAAAUCAUCGAGUUGAAAGCACUUGGAGGGCCAUGAAAAUGUAUUUUUGUGAAAUAAAAAUGUACAAAUAAAUGCAUUUUUCUUUUUUUUUCAAUUUUUAUCUGUUCAAUAAUUAACUAAACAUGCAAGGUUUUAUUGAAUUGUACCAAAUAAACACAUUUUUGUUGAAAAUGGAUCUGUAAAAGAAAAUAAUGGUCCAAAACAUAAAGGGUCCUGUAUGAUUAGUGUUAUCACAAAACAUAAAAAACAGACCUUCAGUUUGUUGUGAUUGUUUUAUUUCUGGGGCCAAAAUCCUCAUAAUAAAUUUUAAAAAAG